rnacentral:rRNA from 1 species
GACGAACGCUGGCGACGUGCUUAACACAUGCAAGUCGAACGGAAAGGCCCUGCUUUUGUGGGGUGCUCGAGUGGCGAACGGGUGAGUAACACGUGAGUAACCUGCCCUUGACUUUGGGAUAACUUCAGGAUACUGGGGCUAAUACCGGAUAGGAGCUCCUGCUGCAUGGUGGGGGUUGGAAAGUUUCGGCGGUUGGGGAUGGACUCGCGGCUUAUCAGCUUGUUGGUAGGGUAGUGGCUUACCAAGGCUUUGACGGGUAGCCGGCCUGAGAGGGUGACCGGCCACAUUGGGACUGAGAUACGGCCCAGACUCCUACGGGAGGCAGCAGUGGGGAAUAUUGCACAAUGGGCGGAAGCCUGAUGCAGCAACGCCGCGUGCGGGAUGACGGCCUUCGGGUUGUAAACCGCUUUCGCCUGUGACGAAGCGUGAGUGACGGUAAUGGGUAAAGAAGCACCGGCUAACUACGUG